rnacentral:lncRNA from 1 species
UCCAAAACGAAGUUUGUUCCUCUCGAUCUAAGGACUUUUUCUGAGCUGCCUAGUGCUAGGUUUACCAAGUGUGCACCACACCUAAACCUAAAGCCUUGCCUAGGUCAAGCUACCCAUUUAAUGCCCCUCUUAAUAGUACGGUCAAAGGAAAACAAAGUUCUAAACUACUCUAAGUGCCCUUCUUCACCAUAUGGCACUUAGACCUAGUCUAGUCCCGACGAUGUCCAACCAUCCUUUGAAAACUGAAAUGAUUUCCACCAUUAAGUAGGCAUGAACCUUCUAGUCCAUUGAUCAACAUUACCAUGACCUAACACUAAUGACUUUGCCUCUGCAAAACACAUGUUAGUCAUAGUAAUCAACAUUGUCAUUAAUCACCGAAACUCAAUAGGGGCCUAGAUGCUUUUCAAUAUCGUUAUAUUCAUAGAUUGUAUAUGAAGUUCAAUUAGCACUACUAUAAAAAAAAUUAACACAAGCGGGCCUUUCGAAUUUUAGAAGACGGACAAAGAAAACGUCUCCAUUCAAAGGUCGUUGUAAACCAAGCAUUAACCGAGGCGGUUUCCAUGCCCGCCCUGGUCAAUAGAAAAAGAAAAAUAAAAGAAAAAUCCAUGGACAGGCCCGUGAGCCAAUUCAUGGCCCAACAGGUCCAUCCACACGCCGCCGCCUCCGCCGUCAGUAGAUGCGGUCACGCCCGGUCUUCAUUUGUUGUUGGGGGGCUGCCACUACCAGAUCCACGACUGGGAAGGUGGAUCAGUACGACCAGAACUGGAUCCGCCACCGGGAAGGUGGAUCCACGCGGCGGGAGCUGGAUCCGUGCCGUUACAGGUCGCACCAUCGUCGUCGCAAGCUCGACCCACUGUGCCGCCGGAAGAGGAGAUGAGGCUGGGCCACCGUGACUCUACCCACUAUGUCGUGACACCCGUGAGGCCAAGACGCCUCACGUCCACACCAUCACGCUGCGCGUCCACACCGCUACGCACGUGCCUCCGUGCCCAUGAGGCCGCGCCGCGCCUCCGCACCACCGCGCGCGUGCCUCCCUAACUGGUUGGCCGCCUUCGCUUCGUGCCUAUUGUAGUGAGGGAGAAAGGGAGAAGAGUGAGAGAGGGAGGGAGAGGAUUGGGAGGGAGGCCGACAUCAAUUUCUGAGUGAGAGAAGAAAGGGAAUGCGGUGGGUGCGGCUGGUGAGGGAGUGAGUGCUAGGGUUUGGCAUAUAUAUACUGCA